rnacentral:rRNA from 1 species
AAUGAACGCUGGCGGCAGGCUUAACACAUGCAAGUCGAACGCAUCCUUCGGGGUGAGUGGCAGACGGGUGAGUAACGCGUGGGAACGUGCCCUUCAGUUCGGGAUAACCCAGGGAAACUUGGGCUAAUACCGGAUACGUGCGAGAGCAGAAAGAUUUAUCGCUGAAGGAUCGGCCCGCGUCUGAUUAGCUAGUUGGUGGGGUAAUGGCCCACCAAGGCGACGAUCAGUAGCUGGUCUGAGAGGAUGAUCAGCCACAUUGGGACUGAGACACGGCCCAAACUCCUACGGGAGGCAGCAGUGGGAAAUAUUGGACAAUGGGCGCAAGCCUGAUCCAGCCAUGCCGCGUGAGUGAUGAGGGCCUUAGGGUUGUAAAGCUCUUUCGUCCGGGACGAUAAUGACGGUACCGGAAGAAGAAGCCCCGGCUAACUUCGUGCCAGCAGCCGCGGUAA